rnacentral:tRNA from 1 species
UGCCGGGUCGUCUAAUGGUAGGACACAACACUUUGGAUGUUGUUAUUCUUGGUUCGAAUCCAAGCCCGGCAG